rnacentral:lncRNA from 1 species
AAGCCUUCAAAAAGGUUCACCAUGCAGCAUUUGGGUGGGCGUCAUUUCCUAGUUAGCCACCAAUUAAAGCAUCAUUUCUCAGAUUUCAAGGCGAAUAACUUCUUAUGCAACAAAAUCUUACUGGCUUAUUCGGGAAUAGGUUCGAUGGCUUCAAAAUAUUGCUCAACCUGGAUUGACCAUCAAAUACAAUACGCUAGCUCUCCAACUAAGAACCAUCAAGAUUGGAUACCCACAGCUCUAACAUACCAGUUCAUAAAAUUUGGUGAAAGGAAAAUCUUGCCUAACAACAGCACUACAAAACUUCUUCAAGGGAUUGCACCUCCCAAUGCCUAAAGGUCUCAGUUCUUCCUAUAAAUUACAAGAUGACCUAUAUCUGAACCUACCCUCAAACUUAUAUGCAAUCUGCCCUGAUCGGAUUCGUACACCUUUUGGCUAGAUGAGGCAAAAGGAUGACACUUGAAUGCUUUAGUUGAUCGGGUUCGUACACCUUUUGGCUAGAACAAUGUGCAACACAAAAACUUCUACCCAAACCUUAAGUUGUAAGGUGGAAGCCCUAUAAAUUUCCAAAUAACCAUUUCCUUCUUUAUUAGAUUUGGGUCUUUCUUAAGCAUUAUUUUAUGUUUCAUCCGAAUUAAGCUUCAUGUCUUCAGUAUCCUUUUCCUCCUUAUUGCACCUGUGUUAGCCAUUUAAUUGAGGGUAGUGUGGUAGUACCUCAACUACCAAAAGGAACUGAACCUGUGUCUCUUGUGUCUCAGAUGGGCCUUUGGAUUCCUUUUAAUAUAGUGAUUUGCUUUCAUAAAAAUUAUAGCCACACUGAGCAGAAAACAACAAUUUACCACCAUAUGGCCUGACUAGUAGUAGUAAUAUCGGAGUGGGUUGUUGAGGUAUUUGGAAGUAUUAUUCCUGGUCAUUGAAGUAUAGCUGAAUUUGAAUGUCUUUGGUACUUCUUAAGUGAAAUAUAUUGUAAAAUAUACUGUAAUAACUAUUCAUAUUUUAAUUAUUGUUAGU